CAGCGAGGACGACCUCCCCCAUCGGGAAAAUAUCCGGGACGACCCGG
rnacentral:ncRNA from 1 species